AUAAAAGAAGCAGGAACAACUGUAUAUAGGCAAUGGAUAAGAGAAGAGAGAAGACAAAAGGCAAGAAAGAAGUCAAAUACAAAUAAAAGAGAAUAUGAAAAGACUAUUGUAUUAUGUUAAUGCUAUGUGAAAUUAAAGUACUUUAAGAUCUUCGGAUGUAAGAUACUAUUUACAGUGAGAAGUUCUUGCUUGGGUGCAGGAGAGGAGCACAGAUGCCAGUCAGAGUCUGUGAGGACACCCACCUCUGCCCCUUGGUUUGGAAGGGAGCUGCACUGGAGCUCAACAAAGGCCCCACAUUCAGAUUGGCAGCGUGUUCAGAUUGGAUUUCCUAUCUACAGCUGCUCCACACUCCAUUUGCACCAUGUCCAAACAUCUGGCUUUAAUUUGGGAUCCUGGACAUUAACUCUACAUCUGCAGGGUGAACCUAAAGCCAUUCUACUCCAUUCUCCUUCUCCCAGCAGAGAGGGACAGAAUGUCUUAACACUUUUGUUACGGAGCAGUUCCAGAUGGGAAUAUGACAGCAAAUGUGUCCUGCACACAGCAGCAGACUAUGGCCCUAAUUGCGUCUGGCUCAUGUGAUGUAAGAUGGCUAGAAGUUUCCUGUGCC
ensembl:lncRNA